ACAAUAAUGAUGAAGAAUUUUUCGAACAGGAUGGAAAAAAGAUAAUCCAAAAUUGUUGGCCAACAUAGACAACGUGUCGCUGAUGUUACCGGAUUUUUGUCACAUGGUUGAAUCGAAUUUCAUUGAACGGCCAACUAACAAUGGCUUCGGCGCAGAGUUAACAUAUCUGUGGGAAACGAAUCUGACUACCCAUUGCGAAAGCCGAUCAAAGAAUUUUUUUGAAAAGCGCGUGUUUGAAUUGAACGAUUUCGCAACGCAGUACAAUUAUUUCAACGAUCGGUUUGGUCACGGUGACGCAUUGCCAUAUUACGACAAUGUUGACAUAACAAAUGCCGUCAACUACACAUAUCAUCGCAGAAAUACCACCAAUGGUGAUGAACAGCGUGAAUUGCAACUGGGCGACUUGUUAGAUGAGCUACGUUUUGUUGGUGCACCAGACAAUUGCAACAUCAAGGAGUUCGUUAAGAAUGACUGUUUCAAAUCCAUUCGCAUGUGGACAUUCAUUCAGCGCUCUAUCCGGAUGUUUCAUAUCACAUACAAAGAUCGCCGUGAUAAACCACGAUUCCGGAAUUUCGUUGUUGUAGCGAUGUGUGAUUUCCAACGGCGACACAUUCGCGUCGAUACAGAUGCAUUGUAAAACAUCGGAAAAAAGGAACGUCAAAUUGGAGAAACAUUGAGAAGAAAGAAUUCAGUGCAAACAAACAUGGGAGUUGGAAUCUGUUUUUCAGAUAGAGGAGAAUAUUUUCAAAUUGGUGAAUUUGUGUAUAUCCAGCAAACGAUAUCAUUGGGAUGCAAAACAAAAUCGUCGUGAUGCGAAAGCCGAAAGAAUCACACGAAGAGCAAGCUGAUCGUAAUCGAAUUGCAGCUAUGAUUGGUAAAAUGCCAUCGCCCAAAGGAUCAUCAUGGUGUUCGUACAUUGAACAUCGAUUACGUGUAAUGAAUGAUGGCAUUGAAACGUAUUUGGCCAAACAGUAUGCACGAUUGGGACUCGACAAACACAUUGAAUCGGUACGUGCGAUGGACAAAACGACAUGCAAAAUGGUACGAAAUGAACCAUCAAUUUUCUACAUUGGAGCCGGCGGAUCAACAUGGCUACCAAAUGUUGCAAACGAUGAAAUCGAGGGAGCUGCUGGAGCACAACCAUCGCACACAAUAGUAUGACAUCGUGAUAUCGCAGCAGUGAAGCUGAUCCUGUACAAAGGUGAAUGCGUGGUGUUCAAGCGAAGAAUUCAUCAGGAUAUCAAGUCAAUUUUUGUAUCAUAUACUAAUUGAAUUUUUUCUGUUUUUUCAUGCCAUUGAUGAACGUUGAAUUUGACAGAAACUACAUACGUCAACAUAUGCCCGAUAAUGGAUGAAUUUGCCACAACAAUUUUUUAUUGGGAAGCUACACAAUUAUUUAUUAAUUUAUCUUAUUAAAAUGUCUAAAUGAUAUAUAAUAUUUGGAUGAUAUCGUUAUC